AGUAGCAAUACUCUAGUGGCGAACGGGUGAGUAACACGUAGGAAACCUGCCUCAAAGUCGAGGAUAACUACUGGAAACGGUAGCUAAAACUGGAUAGGAUAUAUUAAGGCAUCUUGAUAUAUUUAAAAGUCCUUCUGGGAAUGCUUUGAGAUGGUCCUGCGGCGCAUUAGCUAGUUGGUGAGGUAGUAGCUUACCAAGGCGACGAUGCGUAGCUGAGCUGAGAGGCCAAACAGCCACACUGGGACUGAGACACGGCCCAGACUCC
rnacentral:rRNA from 1 species